UGAAUACGAGACGCUAAGGCGUCGAAGUAGUGUAUGUCAUACUUCCAAGAAAAGCUUGCACUGUCAUAGAUAAAAAACGCCUGUACCAUAACCGACACAGGUGGGUAGGUAGAGUAUACUAAGGGGCGCGAGAUAACUCUCUCUAAGGAACGCGGCAAAAUAACUCCGUAACUUCGGGAGAAGGAGUGCCUUAUUCUUAAGGUUGCAAUAACAAGAUCCAAGCAACUGUUUAUCAAAAACACAGGUCUCCGCUAAGUCGUAAGACGAUGUAUGGGGGCUGACGCCUGCCCAGUGCCAGAAGGUUAAAGAAGCUGGUUAGCAUUUGCGAAGCUAGUAACUGAAGCCCAGGUGAACGGCGGCCGUAACAAUAACGGUCCUAAGGUAGCGAAAUUCCUUGUCGGGUAAGUUCCGACCCGCACGAAAGGCGUAAUGAUUUGGAUACUGUCUCGGAGAGGGGCUCGGUGAAAUAGACUUGUCUGUGAAGAUGCGGACUACCUGCACCAGGACAGAAAGACCCUAUGAAGCUUUACUGUAACUUGAAAUUGAAAUUGGACUUUAUUCGCGCAGUAUAGGUGGGAGGCGUUGAUUAUAAUCUUGCGGGAUUAUUGGAGCCAUUAGUGAGAUACCACUCUUGUAAUGUUAGAUUUCUAACUUUGAAUCAUUAUCUGGUCAAAGAACAGUUUCAGGCGGGCAGUUUGACUGGGGCGGUCGCCUCCCAAACGGUAACGGAGGCGUACAAAGGUUUCCUCUGAACGGUUAGAAAUCGUAUCUAGAGUGUAAAGGCAUAAGGAAGCUUGACUGUGAGACCUACAAGUCGAGCAGGGACGAAAGUCGGUCUUAGUGAUCUGACGGUACUGAGUGGAAAGGCCGUCACUCAACGGAUAAAAGUUACUCUAGGAUAACAGGCUGAUCUCCCCCAAGAGUUCACAUCGACGGGGAGGUUUGGCACCUCGAUGUCGGCUCAUCGCAUCCUGGGGCGGUAGUACGUCCCAAGGGUUGGGCUGUUCGCCCAUGAAAGCGGUACGCGAGCUGGGUUCAGAACGUCGUGAGACAGUUCGGUCCAUAUCCGGUGUAGGCGUUAGAAUAUUGAGAGGAGCCUUCUUUAGUACGAGAGGACCGAGAUGGACAUACCUCUGGUGUACCAGUUAUCGUGCCAACGGUAUACGCUGGGUAGCUAUGUAUGGAGUGGAUAACCGCUGAAAGCAUCUAAGUGGGAAGCCCACCUCAAGAUAAGUAUUCAC
rnacentral:rRNA from 1 species